rnacentral:ncRNA from 1 species
GAACUCUGGAGAGUCUCAAGCGAUGAGCGCCGAAGGUGUAACGCAGACGAAAAACAAACGUCUGUCUAUCUCUCAGGCAAAAGGACAGGGC